rnacentral:rRNA from 2 species
UUCGGGGUGGAUCAGUGGCGAACGGGUGAGUAACACGUGGGCAAUCUGCCCUGCACUCUGGGACAAGCCCUGGAAACGGGGUCUAAUACCGGAUAUGACCUUCCUCCGCAUGGGGGUUGGUGUAAAGCUCCGGCGGUGCAGGAUGAGCCCGCGGCCUAUCAGCUUGUUGGUGGGGUAAUGGCCUACCAAGGCGACGACGGGUAGCCGGCCUGAGAGGGCGACCGGCCACACUGGGACUGAGACACGGCCCAGACUCCUACGGGAGGCAGCAGUGGGGAAUAUUGCACAAUGGGCGAAAGCCUGAUGCAGCGACGCCGCGUGAGGGAUGACGGCCUUCGGGUUGUAAACCUCUUUCAGCAGGGAAGAAGCGCAAGUGACGGUACCUGCAGAAGAAGCACCGGCUAACUACGUGCCAGCAGCCGCGGUAAUACGUAGGGUGCGAGCGUUGUCCGGAAUUAUUGGGCGUAAAGAGCUCGUAGGCGGCCUGUCGCGUCGGAUGUGAAAGCCCGGGGCUUAACCCCGGGUCUGCAUUCGAUACGGGCAGGCUAGAGUGUGGUAGGGGAGAUCGGAAUUCCUGGUGUAGCGGUGAAAUGCGCA